rnacentral:rRNA from 1 species
GUAAGGAAUAUUGGACAAUGGACGGAAGUCUGAUCCAGCCAUGCCGCGUGCAGGAAGAAGGCGCUCAGCGUUGUAAACUGCUUUUGAAUGGGAACAAACCACCCGGUUUACUGGGUGCUGAGGGUACCAUUAGAAUAAGCACCGGCUAACUCCGUGCCAGCAGCCGCGGUAAUACGGAGGGUGCAAGCGUUAUCCGGAAUCACUGGGUUUAAAGGGUGCGUAGGCGGCGGCGUAAGUCAGUUGUGAAAUUCCCCGGCUUAACCGGCGGAAGUGCGAUUGAUACUGUGUCGCUUGAAUCAGGUUGAGGUAGGCGGAAUGUGGCAUGUAGCGGUGAAAUGCAUAGAUAUGCCAUAGAACACCGAUUGCGAAGGCAGCUUGCUGGACCUGUAUUGACGCUGAGGCACGAAAGCGUGGGGAGCAAACAGGAUUAGAUACCCCAGUAGUCC